GACGAACGCUGGCGGCGUGCUUAACACAUGCAAGUCGAACGGAAAGGCCCUGCUUUUGUGGGGUGCUCGAGUGGCGAACGGGUGAGUAACACGUGAGUAACCUGCCCUUGACUUUGGGAUAACUUCAGGAAACUGGGGCUAAUACCGGAUAGGAGCUCCUGCUGCAUGGUGGGGGUUGGAAAGUUUCGGCGGUUGGGGAUGGACUCGCGGCUUAUCAGCUUGUUGGUGGGGUAGUGGCUUACCAAGGCUUUGACGGGUAGCCGGCCUGAGAGGGUGACCGGCCACAUUGGGACUGAGAUACGGCCCAGACUCCUACGGGAGGCAGCAGUGGGGAAUAUGGCACAAUGGGCGGACGCCUGAUGCAGCAACGCCGCGUGCGGGAUGACGGCCUGCGGGUUGUAAACCGCUUUCGCCUGUGACGAAGCGUGAGUGACGGUAAUGGGUAAAGAAGCACCGGCUAACUACGUG
rnacentral:rRNA from 1 species